GCAGAUAUGGGCCCAUUCCUCCAUCUUUUCCUCUGAGGGCGCUUUGUCCAAAACCACAGACAGAUUGAAGCUUACCUCCCUGUCAAACUUCCAAUGAAUACUCUCUCACACUGGUGGUGGGAAAGCAAAUCGGUAAAACGUUUUUGGAAAAUGACAAUCAUCAAGAACCUUAGAAAUAGGAGUUCCCAUCAUGGCGCAGCAGAAACGAAUCCGACUAGGAACCAUGAGGUUGUGGGGUCAAUCCCUGGCCUUGCUCAGUGGGUUAAGGAUCUAGCUUUGCUGUGGCUGUGGUGUAGGCCAGCAGCAACAGCUCCAAUUAGACCCCUAGCCUGGGACCAUCCAUAUGCCACGAGUACGGCCCUAAAAAGACCAAAAAAAAAAACCAAAAACAAAAAACAGAACCUUAGAAAUUUUUUUUUUAAUAUUUUGAUCCCUACUGGAUCAAUUCUAAGAAAAUCUAUCAUAAGGAAAUACUUCUAAAUAAGGGAAACAACAAAAUGAACAAAGUUGUUGUUUAGGGUCUAAUUGUGUACAAUGAACAAAAUAAAGAAUAACACACUAUUAGCAGAACCAUUAAAUAAAUUACUCUUCCCAACAGAAUAUAGCCAUUUAAGGUAAAAUAUUCUUGCCCAAAAAGGGGGGGGGAUGUUUAUAUUGAGUGAAAAUGCAAUGUGAUCAAACUAUGUCAAACAGGCUUAAACACUGCCUAAGCAAAAAGUAAAAUAUUGCACAGUAGUUUUUCUUUCAGUGGUGGGACAACACCUUCUACUUUUCUGUAUUUAUUUAAUUAUCUAUGAAAAAGAUAUACCAAUUUUUGCAAUAAAAAUCUGAUAAUUUUAUUUUUAUAUCAACCAGAAUAUCCUCUACAAAAAGUUAAAUAAGGAUAAAGCCUAAAGAAGGCAGUAAAAAGAGAAAGUGAUUAUUUUUUCUCUCACUAGCUAAAUAUAGUACUGCAAUGUUGAUCCAGCCAUUGGGUUUUCCCACUUCUAAUGAGGGGCCUGCCACAGCUCUCUGUGUGAGGCUCGUCAUCAUUCAGUGCAGGCUAGCAUGCAAAACUCAGCUGGCAGAGGGGAUUAAACGAGGAGGCUGUCCGUGUUCCUCAGUUUAUCAGCAAAUCCACAGUGACAUGCAUUUUCCUUUUUCCUCCCCUCAUGAAUACUAAACCUUCAGCUGUGCACGUCUCUAUCACAUCUGUGCUGCGGGCUAAAAGGCCAUCCUUAUAAACCCUCGACCAGUGGUGGGAGGGCUGCUCAUCUUCACGGUACUCAACUAGCACCUGCAAGGCUUGUGGGUCAGUCAAGAGCUGAGAGUGACAUGAGCAGUUUCUUUGAAUAAUGAUUAAGAAAGGAUGUGUGGAUGAAUAGAUGAAAGAAAAACUCAAUUUUAUCUUUUUCUAGUGAAAGAAGGUCAGCUUAAUCACAAUCUGAACAUCAAAGUUAGUGACUAUUUUUAAAGGCUGAGCAUACUAAGAGGUGGGGGAUAAGUCUGGCUAAACAUUUUUUUUAACAGAGAAGCUUAAUUGUGGCAAGUGGAAGUCAUAGCCCUUUUUAUUCUACUCAUCCUCCUUUCCUCAUACCUUUUGAAAAGUCCAAGCUAUGCUGUCAGAAUAUAGCCUCUCUCAGACCAUAUCGGACUAUAAUUAAUUUCCUUUGAUUUGGGGUCAUUUCAUCUGCAUAAAAAUGCUAAUUGUAAAACCAGGGUAUAGGUAUCAGGUUGAUGUUGUCUCUGGUUUUUUGUUUACUUUUUUGUGCUACUGACCCAGAAAGCCCUUAUCCAUAUUUAUUAAAAAGCAUUAUUCUGUAAUUCAGUCACUAGAAUAUCGGAAGUUAGUGCUUAUCAUUUGGUCACCUCCCUGAGCGUGGAGACAUUUGAUACAAAUGAAGAACUAAGAGAUAUUCCCUAUAAAGGAAUGUUUCAUUACCUCUUCAGAUACUGCCUGACAACACAGAGUGCUCAAAAAAGAAAUAGUGAGUCAAUGAAAGCUGUCUUCUAUUGUUCUAAAAUCAUUUCACAGGCAAGAACCAUGGUUUAAAGUCUUUUGUCUCUUCCAGCACACACUACAGGCAAGGGUUCAUAACAGGCAGUCAAUCAAAAUUUUAGGUAAAUAAACACUCCAAAAUUUGAUAUUAUGAGCAAUCAUAUAAAACCUGCUAAGCAAGUUUUAUGCAAGCUACCUAAGAAUAAAUUUGUCUUUCAUCACAUUCCUUUGCCUUUCAUAGAAAUCUAUCCAAUCUUUCCCCCUCUUUUAAAUGUAAUCGUAUACCAUGACUUCCCACUUAUAGCAGCUUGAAUUGAAUUUGAAAGCGGAUGUGAAUGAUUGAAAAUUAUGACUCAUAAUGAGCCCUUCCUCCUGCACCCUUCUUUGUACAACCACAGUGUAAUAAAUGCACCCUACCGCCCCAAAAGGAAAUGCGUCAGCCCCCAGACAAUAUCGAACCACAACGGACACAGCUAAAGAAAUCAAUAAUCACUUUACACUGAUAUUUGACUUGAAGCAAGGCAACUGCUUUUCAAAUCUGAUUUUUUUUUUUUUUUUGGAAAAUGUAGUGGUAAAACAAAGACUAUUAUAUAGUCAUUUAAAGUAUGUCUGAAACCUCCCAAAGCAAUUUUUCCUGUACGAGAGUGGUGAUGCAAUCAGUGUGGCCCCAUGUAAACAUAGUACAGCAUAAUGCAUUCAGGUAACUUACAUAGUCAUUCAGAGUAGGAGAUCAUUUUCAGGGCUCUGUGAGAAAACUGACAGGCUCAAUAACUCAGUCAUCAAGGCCCUACUGAAGAUCCUGAGCAAAUAUUACCCAUUAAUGAGAAGCAGAGUUGGGAAUUAGGUUUGUCUAAAGAAACCUGGUUCUAUCAGGCUGACCUUGCAAAGAAAGGGGGAUACCUCAAACAAUCCAGCUGGAUAAGAAGACUUGAAUAGGAAAAAUAAACAUGCCCAGAAUAUCAGCGUUCCUUGUAGAUUUGGGAAACAAAAUUUUGGUACUAUACAAAUUAUCAUAGGAAAUUCAACUUAUAUGGAAACUAUACGGUCUUUGGUCUCAUUUGUUUUGAUCAGACCAGUGCUCUGCACCUCAGUCUUAUUCUGUUGGCCAACUAUACCCCCUGCUCAGGCUCAGCUGCUCCUGGAAAGUGCUAAGUCUUCUCCACGUCCCUAAAUCAUUUGCCAGCCCCCUUCUUGCCUUUUAGCUCUCACCUCCCAGUUCCCUCUCCCUCAUUCACCCAUACAGUAACCCCUCUCUGAUCCCACCUCCUUGCUGUUCUUAGAACAAACCAGGCCCCUGUCCAUCACUGGGCCCCUAUGCUUGAUAGUCCCUCUGAUAAAAUGGUAACAGUCUUACUUCUUCAUGGGCUUGCUCCUCACCCUCUGCUCAGGUGACAUCUUCCCUACAGACCCUCUCUGAGACCCCUACUUAAUACUGCAACUUCAAACACACGCAUAUGCACACACUCAUUUGGAUAUAAGCCCCAUCAGGGCAAGAGUUGCUGGCAGUUGUCACUGUUGUCUUCCCAGUGCCUGGAAAAUUCCUUGGAACAUAAUAGGCUCUCACUGAAUGUUUAUAGAACAAAUAAAUGAAAAAAAAACAUACUCAUGGACUUGGAAAACAGACUUCUGGUUGCCAAGGGGGAGAGGGAGGGAGUGGAAUGGACUAGUAGUCUGAGGUUAGUAGAUGCAAACUACUCCAUUUGGAAUGGAUAAGCAAAAAGGUCCUGCUGUAUAGCACAGGGAACUAUAUCAAGUCACUUGUGAUGAAACAUGAUGGAGGAUAAUGUGAGAAAAAGAAUGUGUGUGUGUGUGUGUGUGUAACUGGGCCAUUUGGUGUACAGCAGAAAUUGACAGAACAUUGUAAACCAACUAUAAUAAAAAAUAAAAAUAGGGAGUUUCCAUUGUGGUGAAGCAGAAAUGAACCCGACUAGGAACUAUGAGGUUGCGGGUUCAAUCCCUGGCCUCAUUCAGUGGGUUAAGGAUCUGGCAUUGCCGUGAGCUGUGGUUAGGUCACAGACCCAGCUCGGAUCUAAUGUUGUCGCGGCUGUGGCAUAGGCCGUCAGGUGUAGCUCCAAUGGGCCCCCUAGCCUGGGAACCUCCAUAUUCCGCAUAUUCUGCCCUAAAAAGCAAAAAAAAAAAAAAAAUUAUUAAAAAAAUAAUAAAAUAAAAAUAAAUUUUUAAAAAGAGAAAUAAGUAAAUGGAGGACUAUGAGGUUAAUUGAUUUAUUUAUUUAUUUUUUUUUUUGCUUUUUUAGGGCUACACCUUUGGCAUAUGGAAGUUCCCAGGCUAGGGGUCAGAUUGGAGCUAUAGCUGCUGGCCCAUGCCACAUCCACAGCAACUCGGGAUCUGAACCACAUCUGCGACUUAUACCAUAGCUCGCGGCAACGCCCGAUCCUCAACCCACUGAGCAAGGCCAGGGAUUAAACCUGCAUCCUCAUUCGUUAACCACUGAGCCACAAAUGGAACUCCUAACUAUUUUACUUUAAAUAUCAACCUAUGACAUAUGAAACAGUUUGCCUUCAUAUGGUUUUAGAUGACAGUGCCAAGAUAAAAGUAGAUCAAACUUCUCAAACUAUAAUGGCAAUUGUCAAUGUUUCACUAACCAAAAGUUUUCAAAAAACUGAUGUCCACUUUGCCCAUUUGUCAAAAUUAUUGUGUGGCAGGCAGGAAGUGGGAGGAAGUAUAGAUGAAACAAGAGUGGCAGAUGGUGACAGUUGUUGAAGCUGGGUGGUAGUUAUAUGGAAGUCCAUUAUACCGUUUACAUUGUACAGGUUUGAAAUGUCCUAUAUACAAAGAAAACCUUAUUGAAGAUUAAGAGAUACAAACAACUAUGUAUAAAAUAAAAAGCUACAUGAUAUAUUGUAUAGCCCAGAAAACAUAGCCAAUAUUUUAUAAUAACUACAAUUGGAGUUUAACCUUUAAAAAUUGUGAAUCACUAUGGAGUUCCCAUUGUGGCUGAGUGGGCUAAGAAUCUGACUAGUAUCCAUGAGGAUGUGGAUUCGAUCCCUGGCCUUGCUCAGUGGGUUAAGGAUCCAGCAUUGCUGUGAGCUGGGGCGUAGGUUGCAGACAAGGCUCUGAUCUGGCAUUGCUGUGAGCUGGGGUGUAGGUUGCAGACAUGGCUCUGAUCUGGCAUUGCUGUGGCUGUAGCAUAGGCCAGUAGCUGCAGCUCUGAGUCCACCCCUAGCCUGGGAACGUCCAUAUGCCACAGAUUUGGCCCUAAAAAGAAAAAAA
rnacentral:lncRNA from 1 species